AAACAAACAAAAAUACUUCGCAAAUUGGUGAAUUUUGGUUUCGCAAAUUAAUUUGCAAAUUGCAAUACUUUUCAAAUCUAGCUUCUUUAAAUAAUAGAAAUUGUAAUAUACUAGCGGCUGGUGGAUAUAGUCAAAGUCAGCGGAAAUAUGUGCGCAAUAGUGUAGUGACAGUUUUGGACUGAAUGACGGAGCAGGCAAAAUUCAACCAACAAAGUGCAUUCCGCGGGACCCCCUACACCAAGGCAGGUGAUACCAGUUCCGCCAUGGGAAGAAAUAUUAAAUAAAUGUUAAUGGAAGGAUGUCGUCAAAUAAUGUGGAUGGCAAUUGCAAAAAGAAACGAGACCAGAUGAUGAGAUGGUGGCGAGCCAAAGUAAGAGUCCGGGAUCAAUGCGGCUCUUCUAGUGUUAUGGCCAAUGCUACUGAGGUCGGCGAUCGUUGCAGUGGAGUGAAAAUUGCAAUGAUAAUGACGACUUCCCCUUCGUUUGGCAUUCAGAUUGCACAAUAACCGCUUGUGAUGCUUUUUGAGGAGAAUCUUGGGUACCUAAUUAAUAGGUGCGGCUGCUGUAUCUGACCAACAUAUUUAAUAAAUUUUUA